rnacentral:rRNA from 1 species
UACAGAGGGUGCAAGCGUUAAUCGGAAUUACUGGGCGUAAAGGGCGCGUAGGUGGUUAUGUAAGUGAGAUGUGAAAGCCCCGGGCUUAACCUGGGAAUUGCAUCUUAUACUGUGUGACUUGAGUGCAAUAGAGGGUAGUGGAAUUUCCGGUGUAGCGGUGAAAUGCGUAGAUAUCGGAAGGAACACCAGUGGCGAAGGCGGCUACCUGGAUUGACACUGACACUGAGGCGCGAGAGCGUGGGGAGCAAACAGG